GCUCCUACCGAUUGAGUGAUCCGGUGAAUAAUUCGGACUGCAGCAGUGUUCAGUUCUUGAACAUUGCAGUGGAAAGUUUAAUGAACCUUAUCACUUAGAGGAAGGAGAAGUCGUAACAAGGUUUCUGU
rnacentral:rRNA from 1 species